rnacentral:rRNA from 1 species
UACGGGGGGAGCAAGCGUUGUUCGGAUUUACUGGGCGUAAAGGGCGCGUAGGCGGCCACCGCAAGUCGACUGUGAAAUCUCCGGGCUUAACCCGGAAAGGUCAGCCGAUACUGCGGGGCUAGAGUGCAGAAGGGGCAACUGGAAUUCUUGGUGUAGCGGUGAAAUGCGUAGAUAUCAAGAGGAACACCUGCGGCGAAGGCGGGUUGCUGGGCCGACACUGACGCUGAGGCGCGAAAGCUAGGGGAGCGAACGGG